UUGGAAGCUGAAAUGUUUAUUUCUAUUUUUAAACUUUCCUAUUUUUUAUAUCAACCAAAGACUGUACGCAACAACUUCAAUUUCACUCUUUUCCACUUUAGCUAAAUAUCUUGUUUCUUAAGACAAGUUAGCAACAGCGUUUUCUUUCCAACAUAGCAUCUAGAUUUUAUAUUUAAGUGGAUUGAAGGUUACUUCGUGGUGAACUAAAGUGACGAGAUGUUCGAAAGAAGGUGACUCAAGUUUUAUCCGUCGUCUACGACCUUCUACGAGCACGUAUGAGCGUCUAAGGUUAGAUGUCUAUCAGAAGAAUUGACUCGUUAUAGUCAUUCAAUUUAAGAUGGAUUUGAGGUUCACAUUUACAGGAUGGCAGGCAUUCUUUCUAUAUGAUACAGAUGUUUAGCGAGAUGGUGUAAGCUCCACUUCCCUCUAGAUCAAAGUCAGGUCCAGUACUCUUAUUAAUGUUAGAAAUUACUGGUUGGUCGGGGCCUGUCCCGACACUUGUAUCAGUUGUCUAUUUGUAAGUAUUCAUAGAGGCUUCAUAGACGGUACAUGUGGGUCAAUUAUAUUCAGUUGCAUAUCAUGGGCUAGUGGCCACAUUUAUGUUUAGAAGUUAUUUACAGAUGUCAUUUGUCUCUCAAGUUACAUUAUAUGAUAUAGUACAAGUUUACCGUAGUUGCAUAAA